UUUUAUAUCAAGAUAGCCUCUGAAUUUUUCCAUACUAUUUAAAACCUUGAGAUCUCGGAAGCUAAGCAGGGUCGGACCUGGUUAGUACCUGGAUGGGAGACCACCUAAGAAGACCAGGUGCUACAGGUGUAAAAA
rnacentral:rRNA from 1 species